UCCGUAGGCGGUGUGGCAAGUCGGGAGUGAAAUCUCUGGGCUUAACUCAGAGGCUGCUUCCGAAACUGCCGUGCUAGAGUGUGAGAGAGGCGAGUGGAAUUACGGGUGUAGCGGUGAAAUGCGUAGAUAUCCGUAGGAACAUCCGAGGCGAAGGCGGCUCGCUGGAUCACAACUGACGCUGAGGGAGAAAGCUAGGGGAGCAAACA
rnacentral:rRNA from 1 species